rnacentral:rRNA from 1 species
AUUGAACGCUGGCGGCAGGCCUAACACAUGCAAGUCGAACGAGUGGCGGACGGGUGAGUCAUGUCUGGGAAACUGCCUGUUGGAGGGGGAUAACUGCUGGAAACGGUAGCUAAUACCGCAUACCAUCAGAUGUGCCCAGAUGGGAUUAGCUUGUUGGUGGGGAAACGGCUCACCAAGGCGACGAUCCCUAGCUGUUCGGAGAGGAUGACGAGCCACACUGGAACUGAGACACUGUCAAGAUUCCUACGGGAGGCAGCAUUGGGGAAUAUCGGAAAAGGGGCGAAAGCCUGAUGAAGCAAUGCCGCGUGGAUGAAGAAGGCCUUGGGUGUGUAAAGUAUUUUCAUCGGGGAGGCGUUACCUGCAGAAGAAGCACCGGCUAACUCCGUGCCAGCAGCCGCGGUAAUAC